rnacentral:tRNA from 1 species
GGCAGUAGCUCAGUGGUAGAACCACCGCUUCGUACGCGGGAAGAUCUGGGUUCGAUUCCUGGCUGCC